UGUUCGGAGAGUUUGAUCCUGGCUCAGGACGAACGCUGGCGGCGUGCUUAACACAUGCAAGUCGAACGCUGAAGCCCAGCUUGCUGGGUGGAUGAGUGGCGAACGGGUGAGUAACACGUGAGUAACCUGCCCCCUUCUUUGGGAUAACGCCCGGAAACGGGUGCUAAUACUGGAUAUUCACUGGCCUUCGCAUGGGGGUUGGUGGAAAGGUUUUUUCUGGUGGGGGAUGGGCUCGCGGCCUAUCAGCUUGUUGGUGGGGUGAUGGCCUACCAAGGCUUUGACGGGUAGCCGGCCUGAGAGGGUGACCGGUCACAUUGGGACUGAGAUACGGCCCAGACUCCUACGGGAGGCAGCAGUGGGGAAUAUUGCACAAUGGGCGAAAGCCUGAUGCAGCGACGCCGCGUGAGGGAUGACGGCCUUCGGGUUGUAAACCUCUUUCGCUCAUGGUCAAGCCGCA
rnacentral:rRNA from 1 species